GACGAACGCUGGCGGCGUGCUUAACACAUGCAAGUCGAACGGCAAGGCCCUGCUUUUGUGGGGUGCUCGAGUGGCGAACGGGUGAGUAACACGUGAGUAACCUGCCCUUUACUUUGGGAUAACUUCAGGAAACUGGGGCUACUACCGGCUAGGAGCUCCUGCUGCCUGGUGGGGUUUGGACAGCUUCGGCGGUUGGGGAUGGACUCGCGGCUUAACAGCUUGUUGGGGGGGUAGCGGCUUACCCAGGCUUUGACGGGUAGCCCGCCUGAGAGGGUGACCGGCGCCCCUGGGACCUAGGGUAGGCCCCAGCCGCUUACGGGGGGCAGAGGGGGGAAGUAUGCCCCAGGGGUGGAAGGCCUGUGCCGCAAACCCGCGGGGCGGAAAGCGGCCUUCGGGGUAGCAAACAGCUUUGCCCGGUGAGAAAGGUUAGUUGACGGUAAUGGUAGAAGAAGCACCGGCUAACUACGU
rnacentral:rRNA from 1 species